GAGUUUGAUCCUGGCUCAGGAUGAACGCUAGCGGUAUGCUUAACACAUGCAAGUCGUACGGAAAAGCAAUUUUUAGUGGCGAACGGGUGAGUAACACGUGAGAAUUUGCCUUUAGGAAGAGGAUAACAAUUAGAGAUAAUUGCUAAUACUCUAUAUGCCGUUUUCGGUGAAGGAAGUAAUUCGCCUAAAGAGAAGCUCGCGUCUGAUUAGCUAGUUGGUAGGGUAAAGGCCUACCAAGGCGACGAUCAGUAGCUGGUUUGAGAGGAUGAUCAGCCACAUUGGAACUGAGACACGGUCCAGACUCCUACGGGAGGCAGCAGUGAGGAAUAUUGGUCAAUGGGCGAGAGCCUGAACCAGCCAUCCCGCGUGCAGGAAGAAUGCCCUAUGGGUUGUAAACUGCUUUUUCGCAUGAAGAACACCUUUGACGUGUCAGAGGCUGACGGUAAUGCGUGAAUAAGCACCGGCUAACUCCGUGCCAGCAGCCGCGGUAAUACGGAGGGUGCAAGCGUUAUCCGGAUUUAUUGGGUUUAAAGGGUGCGUAGGCGGCUUUUUAAGUCAGUGGUGAAAUCCUGCAGCUCAACUGUAGAACAGCCAUUGAAACUGAGAAGCUUGAGUAAUCUUGAGGUAGGCGGAAUGUGUAGUGUAGCGGUGAAA
rnacentral:rRNA from 1 species